rnacentral:lncRNA from 1 species
CGGAGCUCCGCGGGCUGGGCAGCGCUCCCGGGUGCGCCCUGCGGCAGGCGGGGCUCCGCGGGGCGCGUGUGGAGGGCGGCUGCGACCCCUCCGUGCCCGGGCUCCCCGAGGGGCUGCGGCCCCGGCCCUUCCUGCUGCCGCUGUGGGCUGCCUGCUGCAGGGGAGAAAAGGCUGAAGCUGCCAGAAAAAAACUGUCAGGGCCAGGCUGAGGAGGGAAGAUGUGGAAAGGAAUCGUUGCAGGCUGCAGAAUGGGAGAUGAGCAUUUGGACCUGAGACAUCCACAUUCAGGGAGUGAACUCUUCCUGGCUGCAGGAACAAGAAUGUAUGAUUCUGUGCGCAGUGAGGUGAGCAAUUAAUGCUGCAUCGAUGUGUUCAUUAACAUUAGUUUAUUAACCAAGUGUAAGGACCCUGUACUCUCACUAACAGCUUCAGCUUGGCUUUUAGAAUAUUUGCAGUGCUAAUCCUAAACAGCAGAGGAUCAGAUAAUGCUGUGGUAUAAAAAUAACUCAAUAUAAGUUUCUGCAAUAGAAUAAUGUACAUUAAAUAUAUACAAUAUAGAAAGCAAUAAGAUGCCUUCCAUAUAAUAUUAUUUAUGCAAGUAUAUAGAAUUACCCGUUUGUAGUUUUGAAUGUGUAGGUAGAUUGAGGAGUUUAGGAACAAAGACAAUUUAAUGUUGUCAUAAAAAGGAAAAAUAAAACCCCUUUUUUCUGAGCA